rnacentral:rRNA from 1 species
UACGUAGGGGGCAAGCGUUGUCCGGAUUUAUUGGGCGUAAAGCGCUCGCAGGUGGUCCGUUGCGUCGUGCGUGAAAGACCCCGGCUCAACUGGGGAGUGUCGUGCGAUACGGGCGGACUGGAGGCCAGUAGGGGGAUGCGGAAUUCCGGGUGUAGUGGUGGAAUGCGUAGAGAUCCGGAGGAACACCAGCGGCGAAGGCGGACAUCCGUCGGACCUGGGUCCUGGACAC